AAAUCCAAAAACAGGCUCUACAUCAAUUUUUCUUUAACUAUAGAUUUUUUCGUUUCUGGUUCAGAAAGCUUUUGAUUAAUUUGGGCUUUAAAGUAUUUCAAAGUAAAAUUACAUGUUAAUACGUAGUAUUAAUGGCGAGACUCCUGAGGGAGCAGUGCCAGUCGAAGACAGGGGCCCCAACACAGAAGCUGACAUAUAGUCAGCUUACAACAAUGUGCCGGUUGGGGUAGCUGAGACGGCACCCUAGGAAGGGACCCAUCAUCAAAAAUUCUAUUUAUAGAAUUUUACAGUAAUGUGCCAGAUGGGCAAAGCGAAGCCAUUCAAUACGAAGUAUUGUAUAAAUAGAGAACAGCAG
rnacentral:ncRNA from 1 species